AGACCAGCCAUUUUGCACUUAGUUUGGAAAACAAGGUGCUUUGUUUUGUUUAAUCUUCGGCAUCCACCUGUAUUGAACUCUGGAUAAGCUUUGAUUUAUCACAGAGCUGUUGGAAAACACUGCAAGAAUGCAAGUUGAUGAAGACAAACAAUGUCUACAGGGACGGAAUUAUACAAGAAGAAGAACAACGCAGUGAUGAAACGCGCUCUGUAGUGCUGUUUGUCUGUUUACGGCUACUGUAGAAACAUGGUAGCGCAACAUGGCGACAUCCAUGGAGGGGGGGUCCUGCAGUGUCUGUAGAUAGAAAUGUCUCAUUCUAAGACCGAAUCAAGCUCCUGGACUGACGGACAUUUAUGGAAGUAAGUUAGAUUCCAUGUGUAAAGGAAAAAGGAGCUGGCUGACUGUCUGCAGAGCGGUAAGAGGCUUUUUCACACAAGACUUUUGUUAAAUUAAUACUAACAUCCACUAGAUCUUAUCAAACCACUAUCAAUAAUAUUAAGGUGUACUGCAUUUAGAAAUCCCGACAGUAUGACUUUCAAUACCGCCAAAAACUCAAAAACACUCCUCUUUCUUUUAAACUGAUCUUCACUAGCAAGGACCACGCCACAACAAUGUGUGCUUUAGAGUUACAUGCAAAUAGGAAUGUGUUCUUAACAUUAAGCAAAAAAAAUAGGUUUAAUUCUCUCAGGUGUAUUUCACAGGUUUGUGAUGACAACGACUCUUCAGCCAUCCAAGAGGCCCUCCCUUCAUUAGCAUUCAAUAUAUUUGUGGUCAAGAAAAUUCAGGGAGGGAGGUCUUAAAAAGCAAGCUGGAGUAGCCAUCACAGGAGCAAUGGUCCUUUUUGAUAUUUCCAUUGUAGCACAGUCUUUCACCUACCUAAUGGGCCUUUUAAGGUUUUUCACAAGAUCUUCGUGGAGCUGGAGGAUGGGAACUACAAAAUGUUCUCUAAAGUCCACGAUCUCAAGGUCAUCUUACUGGUCUAAAAGCCAUACAGACAUUGGUCAGACAAGGUGGAGGACUGUGGAGGACACUUUUUUGAAAGUGUAGUAUUGAAAAAUCUGUACAAAACAUAUUUGUUAUUGCACUUUUUUUUAUUUGGGUGUUUGAGUGGAAGUUUAAUAUACUCUUCUUUUGGUUGCUGCGUUUAGUUGAAAGUUAUGAAAAGUAAAAACAAAUUCAUUUUCCACAAAACAUGUCUUAGAGUAUGAUUUUGUGCUUCACAACUAUAACACUAACUUGUUCAAUAUUUUUCCACAUCCUUAUUGUAUUAGUUAUUUUUAUAAACAUUUACUCAUCUUAAUAAGACACCGUUUAGUUUAGGUAGCUGCAAAUGUGCAUUGUUAAUGGUUAACAAGUGCAUAAUAAAGGAUUUAUUAAUUUAAAUAAGUCUUGCCUUUCUUGGAAGAGAAAGGACAACAACACCACAACACAUGAAACAAAUAACAGGUGGGUAAAAAACCUGUCAGAUAGUGAACUCAUCCAAUCAGAGCAAGACAUUCUGGCCAAAGGAUUAAACUUUGGCAUCACACCACAGCAGCUGCCUAUAGUGGACCUCAUCACAGCAACAGAAUCGGCCAUUAAGAAAAACAAAUUCACUGAAACAGAAGCAGAAGAGCUAAAGAUAUCAGCAGCCCUUUCUAAUGCGAAGGCUACCCCUUCCAACCUCACCAUCCAAGAAAGGAAGGCUGUGACAUCACUGAGCUAUGAUCAACAGAUCACUAUCCUACCUGCUGACAAAGGAAGAUGGUUUGGAGACAAACACAUAUGAGACACUGAGGCGAGACCCAACCAGCGGGAACAAGAAAAAGCCUUCUGGGGAAGACCCUGCCAAAUCUGACCAGUGAUGACAUGUAUAGCCGCAUGUCGUCAUUCCGCCGCUGGUUGUCGAGGUGGUGUCCAGCAAACGAUGU